rnacentral:lncRNA from 1 species
GACUCACAGCACACACCUGCGAGCAGAGUUUUGCUAUUUCACACCCCAGAUUUCCUUCAUGUAUCAGUGAUUAUACUAAACUUUUCCUCACAGCCAAGAUGUGGAAUAUGCUUUAAUCUCAUUUACUGGAUUGCUUCGCCUGAGUGUGGUGGGGUUUUUUUUUUCAUUUUAUUGUUUGUUUGCUUUUUUUGCUGAAGCGAUGGGGCUCGAGGCGGGGAGCUCAGCACCA